rnacentral:rRNA from 1 species
UCUCGCAUCGAUGAAGAACGUAGCGAAAUGCGAUACUUGGUGUGAAUUGCAGAAUCCCGUGAACCAUCGAGUCUUUGAACGCAAGUUGCGCCUGAAGCCAUUAGGCCNAAGGCACGUCUGCCUGGGCGUCACG